AUAAAUUAGGUAUACGUUAUCAAAACUUGUACAAUAGUAUAGUUAAAAUAUCAUAUUUUGUUCGAUUUUGUUCAUUAUUUAAUUAUCUAGCUAGCAACUAGCAACCACCCGCGGUUUCGCUCCCGUACAAAUUUUGAAAAAUCUGGCUUUGUUACUUAUCUACGAAGCAUCUACUUACUUAUAUACGAAGUUACUUAUAUAUGAAACAUCCCUGUGCAAAAUUUUAGCUUUCUAGGUCCAACCAUUUUGGCUAGGUGUUGAUGAGUCAGUUAGUGAGUGAGUCAGAACUUUUCUUUUUUAUAUUACUAUAUGCAAUAGGUAAGUGUUGCUAGUGUCUUAUAUUUCGAAAUGUCUUAUAUUUCGAGUUUCAUAUCAACCCACUGAUUCAAUGCAAAGAUUAGGUCUUAAUAUUUUUUAUAAAAUCCUAAUAUGUACUUUUUUUGCUAAAAACGCACAUAUAACUCCGAAAAGUUAUAAGUGCAUGCCUGACAUUAAGUCCCCAAAUAGGAAGCCUACUACUUUGCUAUGACUGCUUUGUUAUUAGCAAUUUAAUA